rnacentral:rRNA from 1 species
UACGAGAGGACCGGAGUGGACGCAUCACUGGUGUUCGGGUUGUCAUGCCAAUGGCACUGCCCGGUAGCUAAAUGCGGAAGAGAUAAGUGCUGAAAGCAUCUAAGCACGAAACUUGCCCCGAGAUGAGUUCUCCCUGACCCUUUAAGGGUCCUGAAGGAACGUUGAAGACGACGACGUUGAUAGGCCGGGUGUGUAAGCGCAGCGAUGCGUUGAGCUAACCGGUACUAAUGAACCGUGAGGCUUAACCUU